rnacentral:rRNA from 1 species
AGUUUGAUCAUGGCUCAGAUUGAACGCUGGCGGGAUGCUUUACACAUGCAAGUCGAACGGCAGCACGGGACUCAUUCAAGGGUUGGCGGUGGAACGGUAGCAAUGUCGGAACGUGCCUAGUAGCGGGGGAUAACUAUUAUAAAGCGUAGCUACACGCAUACGCCCUUCGGGGGAAAGCGGGGACCUUCGGGCCCUCGCACUAUUAGAGCGGCCGAUAUCGGAUUAGCUAGUUGGUGGGGUAACGGCUCACCAAGGCGACGACCGCCGGUUUGAGAGGACGACCAGCCACACUGGGACUGAGACACGGCCCAGACUCCUACGGGAGGCAGCAGUGGGGAAACGGACAAUGGGGAACCUGAACCAGCCAUCCCGCGUGUAAGGAUGUUGAAGGCCUUCGCUGUAAAGCACUUUGGCAGGAGUAAAGAAACGGCACGGGAUAAUACCCGCAAGAACUGACGGUACCUGCAGAAUAAGCACCCGCCAACUACGCCAGCAGCCGCGUACUGUAGGUGAUAUGACCGGAAUUACUAAGCGCAAGCGUGCGCAGGCGGUUCGGAAAGAAAGAUAAACCCAGAGCCGCAACUUUGGAAACCGGCAUUUUUAACCACCGAGCGAGUAAAAUGAGGUGGAGGUGGAAUUCGGCGUAGCAGUAAAAUGCGUAGAUAUGCGGAGGAACACCGAUGGCGAAGCAGCCUCCUGGGAUAACACUGACGCUCAUGCACGAAAGCGUGAGCAAACAGAUUAGAUACCCUGGUAGUCCACGCCCUAACAGAUGUCAACUAGCUGUUGGGGCCUUCGGAAGCCUGGUAGCGCAGCUAACGGGUGAAGUUGACCGCCUGGGAGUACGGUCGCAAGAUUAAACUCAAAGGAAUUGACGGGACCCACGGCCGUUGCGGAUGAUGAUUAAUUCGAUGCAAUCAUGAAAACCUUACCUACCCUUGACAUGUCUGGGAAUCCGAAGAGAUUUGGGAGUGCUCGCAAGAGAACCGGAACACAGGUGCUGCAUUAUUGCCGUCAAAUGUGUCGUGAGAUGCUGGGUUAAGUCCCGCAACGAGCGCAACCCCUUGUCAUUAGUUGCCACGAAAGGGCACUUAAUGAGACGCCGGUGACAAACCGGAGGAAGGGGUGGGGAUGACGUCAAGUCUCCUCAUGGCCCCGCGGGUAGGGCUUCACACGUCAGCGGCUAAAUGGUCGUGGUCGCCACCCGCGAGGGGGAGCAUCCCAGAACCCGAUCUAGUCCGGAUCGCCUGCAACUCGACUGCGUGAAGUCGGAAUCGCUAGUAAUCGCGGAUCAGCAUGUCGCGGUGAAUACGUUCCCGGUCUUGUACACACCGCCCGUCACACCACAGGAGUGGGUUUUACCAGAAGUAGUUAGCCUAACCGUAAGGAGGGCGAUUACCACGGUAGACUCAUGACUGGGGUGAAGUCAAUAAGGUA